UGUAUGGGUCAAUGAAUUUGAUUGAAAAUCACAAUUUGAAUAGAUGAGUGGUUUGGUAACCUCUCUGACGUAACGUACUCAAUACGGGGCGUUGAAUUUGGCUGUGCUCCUGGUAUGACAGACCGGUUUUGGGAACACAAGCGUUCAGUUGUGUCGACGCCAAGUCUAAGCAUUGGUUCAACAUUGACGCCAGACACGUUGUCCUGUCUAGUACACCCAAUGCUGCCCAACCGAUUUAUCACAAGAUACGACGUGAACACCACCAUGAAGCACCGAUGUCCUUUGAACUUUCAAGAAAUGGUUGGGUUUGGUCAAGGGACUGGUAUUGGAUCUGAUAUAUUAUCAUUGUUGUCACACCUUUUCGCUAAAUAUGAGGUCUUGAAGAUGCUUGGUAUUGCUCCUUGUGAGGUGUUACCCAAUGUUAAUGACGCCUGUCUGUAUAAGUGGUACAUACUUGACACCUAUGGCGAAGGAUGAGCCAGUUAUUUUCGAGUUUGUACUUUGGGUGCAUCUCGUUCCUCGGGUUGCAUUGCGCCCGCGACCCCAUAGGAGUUCCUGGUCUUGUCUCUUCGCCCCCAACCCCGAUAAACUCUGUGUACCGUGAACGAAUGCUCAUCAGGUCGACAGUUAUUUGACGACGUAAAUCCAUCCAUAUUAACUGGCGCUGCGGCUGCGCUCAAUAGACUCCGUUGGGGAGUCUGAGCCUGAUAGGGUGUACCAGUCCAGCCGGUUAUGUACGGUUGGUAUGCUCUAUGAUAUGGAUCUCCAGCCACCUGUCAGCUAGGGGCAGACCCCAGUGUCUCAACCCUGGGUCUCAGAGGCGGUAACUUCUAGUCAGGCAGCGCGCUAUGUCUGGUUAGGCGACAUGGGUUACCAGGGCAUCCACAGCCAAAAUGGUUUGCACAUGGAGGUCAUCGCGACCGACUUGUGAGGGGGAAGAAGUGAUGUCCAUGGCGGUUUCAAAUUGAUCUGACGACCCCCGCGUCUUCUGGACAGGGAGGGGUUCAUGUGGCCAAAUCCUGUCAGCUAAAUCCUAUCGUUAGCAUCGUUCGCGGUACAUGGAAACCAAGGGCAUGGAACCCUUUUUUGUCUUGGUUUAAUUUCUCUGAGGAUUUCAAUGAUGAUAUAUAUAUUUAGAUCCACAGGUAUGGUACAUGUGGCGACUCGCCACAUGAACAUUUUAAAAGUUUUUUUCGAGCAUUGUUAAAAGUUAUGAGAAUAAAUUUCUUCUUUGGACGUGUUUUUUUUACCAGAAUGACAAUCAAAAAGUUUGUCACUGGAGAAUUUCCCCAUCCCCCACCCCAGCCCCAGAAUAAUAUACAGACUAAAUAGUAUCUUUGGACUGUACUGGUAAUAUAGGUCAGUCACGAAAAAUAAAAUAUAUAUUGGACUGUACUGGUAAUAUAGGUCAGUCACGAAGAAUAGAAUAUGUAUUGGACUGUACUGGUAAUAUAGGUCAGUCACGAAAAAUGAAAUAUAUAUUGGACUGUACUGGUAAUAUAGGUCGGUCACGAAGAAUAUAAUUAUAUUGGACUGUACUGGUAAUAGAGGUCAGUCAAAAAAAAGAAAUAUAUAUUGGACUGUACUGGUAAUAUAGGUCAGUCACGAAAAUAUCUGAAAGUCUGUGCCCCAUUGUUGACGAAUAUAAUAUCGUGAGGACUUUAUCAAUAGUCACGGUCCCUGGCCCCUCCCACAUAAAAAUCAUUAGCAAGGUCACUGCAGGCAAUAGCUUCAGCAUUGUUAUUGUAUAAACAUGUCUUAAACAUUAUAAACGGCCCUAUUUGUGGGGUUACAUUAGGUUCUUGCUGGGGUAAUGAUGUCCAUGUCCGAUUCUGCGUUUGUGGACUUGUAAAUCAGUCCAGCAGUGACAUUGCGUUUUGUGGACAUGUUAAAGUCUGUCCCGCAGUACCACAGUUUCACCCCAGCAUUUACCAAUAAGACCUGCACGUGACCUUAAAGUAAAUAGCUAUGCAAGUGUGGUCGAGACAAAACGCGAUGUAUGCAUUGGAAGAAGGAAAUCUGCGAAGAGCAGCUGGAACUGUCUGUCCAGCUCUCGUUUAUGAAACAAUGGGCGAUUUGAAAGACGUCUCCUGAACAGAUCGCCCAUUGUUCACUGAAGCAGCAUUCGAAUUGUCUCCAAUUUUUUCAGGUGGAUUGCUCCAUCUCGUGUGGUUUCGCUGUCCCGUCCCUAGAAUCGAGCCAACGCGACCGAGGCCACUUCUGAGAGAUAAAUAUUCAGGAUGCCAGAUUUGUGGAACACAAUUGAGGCCAGUAGUCAAGAGCCAUGAUCAGGGAACAGCAGUUUCCAACGGAAUUGACCCUUUUCUUGUUGUAAUUCAUGCUGUUGGCUCAGAAUGGGUUGACACUCACCUGUUUUGGACCCUGAAAAUUAAACAUCGAACAUUGUUACUCUUUGUUAAAAGUGAACGAUGCAAAAUAUGUGCUUACUAGCAUUGUACCCGUGGCGCAGGCAGGUUCAAAUGGGCUAUACCUUGAACAGAUUGAAUUGCAAUGAAAAUAUAAUGCAAUAUCAAAGGAGCAAUAUCGAAGAGACAAAUUAAACCAACCAUUUGUCCACAGACUCGGACCCUGUGGCGUGCUGUAUGCGUGCAUAUAAAAGUAAAUCAAUUGGUCCGAAUGAGAUGAUGAGGCAAUGUGAAUAUACCUCGUUCCUUAGUCAGCAAUAUGCCCCUUUUUAUACGGAGAUGACGGAGAACCCAGAUAGCCCUUCACAUGUCGGCCUCCAAAUGGCUCGGACCAAUGGCACUAUCACUACUAAAACUUUAAAAUGCGUGCUCCUCCUACAUGUAGCAUGAUCUCGGGCAAGGCACUUAGUCGACAGGCAAGCACCGUGAGCAGCUCCUUGAUAAGGCCAUGCCAAGUUCAGAGUGCCUCUUCAGAUACAUCAAGUUUUGAAAGCUGUGGUGAGCACAUAAACAUACCUUUGAAAAUCCCUUCAUAAUCAAGGGCUAGCUCUGGCUAAUACAGUACCAAUAUACGAUAGACCAUCAAUUUGACCCCAGCUCCUUACUGCGGGAAAACCCAAGUCCAGCAACCAAAAGUAUCAAAAUACAUUUUUGUUUACAUUUGAACUGCACACAUGCGUUUGUUUACAAUUUCUUUCCCGCGAAAUCUCGAAGAUCAGGUGACCUACAAUCGUGGAUUGAAAAUAACAUUAACCUUGGUUCAGCAGGUCAACACGUGUACAGGCUGUUCCAAUCAUCCCCCUACAGCCAGCCGUUCAACAGGUAGUGUUAGUCACCCCACAGGGAGUGCAGGUGAUUCAUUAAUCCCCUGCAUAACUAAACAGCAAUGGCUUGGCUUCCGUGAGUGAUAAGGAGAAUUGACCGUGUCCGAUUAAAAAUCUCUCAUUACUGCUCCGCUGAAGUAAAUUUCCGAAAAUAAACAUGACGUUGCAUCAGGAUAACAUAUCACCUGCAAACGCGCAAAAUUUCGAGACGAAACACGACCCCCAAAUGGCACUUUAGCGAGCCGCCUUAUAGUAUUAUGAUAUAGAUUCCUGAAAUCAAUAGCACUUCAUGUAUGUACUCGCUGAUCCAGAAUAUUGCUAUUUUAUGUUCCGUUUUCAAUGUGGCAAUCCAUUUACCGUAUCUGAGCUAUUUCACAGCACAAGAAGUGCAACAUUACAACAAUGGAGCUAUUUCUUGAUCACAGCAAAAAUGUGUUCUACAUUGUUUUACUCAAAUGAUGCAUGGAUGAGCCUUAUUGACAUAUUGUUUUCAAGAGGAAUUGGUUGUAGGUUUUCUUUCUUUUUUAACAGAAGGCCUAUAUUUUAGGUAGGAUAUUAUUUACACUAUAGGCCCAUAUCAGUUUUGAGAUCAAUUUCCUCUUGAAGACAAUAAACGUCAAUCGAGUCUCUGCACCAUUUUGAUUGGGCGGUUUUGGGCUAAAAUACGGUACAAGAGAAUGCUCCAUUGGUGUUAACAGAAUAUGUCAUUGUUUUGAUCAGCAUGGUAGUUCUUGCCACCUUGAAAGCGGUCACGGUAACUUACGACUUGUACAU